ACUCCUACGGGAGGCAGCAGUGGGGAAUAUUGCACAAUGGGCGCAAGCCUGAUGCAGCCAUGCCGCGUGUGUGAAGAAGGCCUUCGGGUUGUAAAGCACUUUCAGUUGUGAGGAAGGUGGUGUCGUUAAUAGCGGCAUCAUUUGACGUUAGCAACAGAAGAAGCACCGGCUAACUCCGUGCCAGCAGCCGCGGUAAUACGGAGGGUGCGAGCGUUAAUCGGAAUUACUGGGCGUAAAGCGCAUGCAGGUGGUUUGUUAAGUCAGAUGUGAAAGCCCGGGGCUCAACCUCGGAAUUGCAUUUGAAACUGGCAGGCUAGAGUCUUGUAGAGGGGGUAGAAUUUCAGGUGUAGCGGUGAAAUGCGUAGAGAUCUGAAGGAAUACCAGUGGCGAAGGCGGCCCCCUGGACAAAGACUGACGCUCAGAUGCGAAAGCGUGGGGAGCAAACAGGAUUAGAUACCCUGGUAGCACAGAG
rnacentral:rRNA from 1 species